UUACUACUCCCUCCGUCUCAAAAUUCUUGUCUUAGAUUUGUCUAAAUACGGAUGUAUCAAGUCACAUUUUAGUAUUAGAUACAUCCAUAUCUAGACAAAUCUAAGACAAGAAUUUUGGGACGGAGGGAGUAGAUC
rnacentral:pre_miRNA from 1 species